rnacentral:rRNA from 1 species
AUUGAACGCUGGCGGCAGGCCUAACACAUGCAAGUCGAACGGUAGCACAGAGGAGCUUGCUCCUUGGGUGACGAGUGGCGGACGGGUGAGUAAUGUCUGGGAAACUGCCUGAUGGCGGGGGAUAACUACUGGAAACGGUAGCUAAUACCGCAUAACGUCGCAAGACCAAAGAGGGGGACCUUCGGGCCUCUUGCCAUCAGAUGUGCCCAGAUGGGAUUAGCUAGUAGGUGGGGUAAUGGCUCACCUAGGCGACGAUCCCUAGCUGGUCUGAGAGGAUGACCAGCCACACUGGAACUGAGACACGGUCCAGACUCCUACGGGAGGCAGCAGUGGGGAAUAUUGCACAAUGGGCGCAAGCCUGAUGCAGCCAUGCCGCGUGUAUGAAGAAGGCCUUCGGGUUGUAAAGUACUUUCAGCGAGGAGGAAGGCAUUAAGGUUAAUAACCUUGGUGAUUGACGUUACUCGCAGAAGAAGCACCGGCUAACUCCGUGCCAGCAGCCGCGGUAAUACGGAGGGUGCAAGCGUUAAUCGGAAUUACUGGGCGUAAAGCGCACGCAGGCGGUCUGUCAAGUCAGAUGUGAAAUCCCCGGGCUCAACCUGGGAAC